AGAGUUUGAUUCUGGCUCAGGAUGAACGCUAGCGACAGGCCUAACACAUGCAAGUCGAGGGCAGCAUAAAAGUAGCAAUACGUUGGUGGCGACCGGCGCACGGGUGAGUAACGCGUAUGCAACCUACCUAUCGAAGAGGGGAAUAACCCGGCGAAAGUCGGACUAAUACCGCAGUAAAACAGGGGCACCGCAUGGUGAUAUUUGUUAAAGAAAUUCGCUGAUAGAUGGGCAUGCGUUCCAUUAGGUAGUUGGUGAGGUAACGGCUCACCAAGCCGACGAUGGAUAGGGGAACUGAGAGGUUGGUCCCCCACACUGGUACUGAGACACGGACCAGACUCCUACGGGAGGCAGCAGUGAGGAAUAUUGGUCAAUGGGCGGGAGGCCUGAACCAGCCAAGUCGCGUGAAGGAAGAAGGAUCUAUGGUUCGUAAACUUCUUUUGCAGGGGAAUAAAGUGCAGGACGUGUCCUGUUUUGUAUGUACCCUGAGAAUAAGGGUCGGCUAACUCCGUGCCAGCCGCAGC
rnacentral:rRNA from 1 species